AGAGUCAUAGCAGUGAGUGCUAGCACACCCCUCUAAUUUGGGACUCCACAAUACCUCCACAGUACUUUGUUUGGUUGCUUACUUGGAAACACAACAGUAGGAAACAAUUUUAUGCAAUUUAAUACGAGAAAAAGAAUGAAGGAGCCAGAACUGCGUGAUCAUCCAGCAUUCUGGACCACCAUCAGGUUAUGAAGCUGAAAUAACUUAGUAGAAGAAAGAAUCUGCAAUUUAAUCAAUAAUCAUGCCCAUGUUGAGAUGUGCCUUUGUGAUGAUGCAUGACAUGAUACAUCUGUUUCAAGAAAACUAGGAUGAAUACCCUAGGAUGACUUUGAGGACAGGGACACAUUGUAAGAGGGCUCAUGCUAAAGGCUUCACAGUGUUUAGACUUCCUACUCAACCUGACUGCAAGAUAAGAAAGAAGGAAGGAAGCAGAAAUGAUACAGGAGCACGUCUUCAUCUAGAUAAAUUCUCCUGACACCAGUGUGCUGCCUACAUUCAGGAGGCUGGAAUUUUAUUUUUGGUUAAACAUAAUGAAACUUAGAAUGAUGAAGAGUGAAGACAGUUAACUGCACAUGGUCUGCUUAUAUUUUGUUGCUUUCCUGUGAACAGCAACCUUCUUAAAUUAACUUAUAUUUUUUCAUUAUCACUUUUUCUUUCCUAUUUUGUUAGGAAAUUGCUCAGCUUUUACCAGCUGAAAGGUGACUAAUGUCUUUCUGUCCCGAUAUUUCUUCAGCAUUGCAAUUCCCUGGAUCCAAUAACAAAAAAUGGUCAGUUGUUUUGCUCUGAAUUUUGUAAAUUCAUUACUUUUUCAACCUAACUAUCCAAAUGUCUUAAUAGCAUGAAAUCCUUCUUUAUAGAUUUCAGUAAAUACUUUGUGCUGAAAGUGAGUCUUCUACCUUUAUUUGCAUAGAAUGAUGUUGUUACCAUAAGUAAACCAAUAGCAGUAGGCUGCAGUAUGCUAAUGCUUGGCAUAAAAAAAGGUGCAAAAAGCAGGAUGAAUGUGAUUGUAUUUAUUCAGUUACCAUUUUCUUCCUAUGUUCACCUUUAUUGU